CAGGAAUUCUCCCUGCAAGAUGAUUUCCAUGAUAUACCAUCAUCCAUGUCACCGGAUUCAGUGAAGCAGGGACAUUUUGAUCCUUCUAUCUUCACCUCCAUUUCAUUAUUGAGCGCUGAAUCAGCUUUCUCCAGUAAUUCAGCAAUAAACUUCUCUUUAAACAAGCACUUCAGUUCAAGGAGAGCUCCCACAACCACCAAAUGCAUUUGGUGGGCAAGAAACAAGGCCUUGAUGAAACUCCUGGCAGCACUGGAGACAGAGACACUGGAGACAGAGAAACAAGGCCUCCACCAUCAACAUGUCAUUAGUAAUUCUUUAUGAGGAUAAAAACAAUUGGUCCAUACCCUCUUGAUGAAACGUGUGUCAACAGACACGUUCUUGAAAAAAAAGGUCCAUUAUUUUCUAUGGCAAAAUGAAAAGGCCGUCGUUAUAUUUUCCUUUAGAUAGAGCUGUUGAUCAAUUCCUGCUGGAGCUGUACAGUGAACUUCAACAUGAAUAGUACGAACAUAUUUAACAUUUGUCGAGUGUUGACUUCAGCCUUAAGUUUUUUAUUGAUGGAGAAGGCUUUCAACUGUGGACUUUAUUUGCGCUAGCAAGAUAGAUUUUCUUUGCCUAUAUCAUGUCGCUUUUUGUCCAGUUCGGUUGUUAAUUAAAUAGUUAAUCUGGUAACUAGAAGUUAUAAAAUCGUCUGUUGUAAUAAGAGUUUUUUAUGAUUUUGGUAUUCUUCAGUAUCAGGAUUUCUAACCACCAGAAUGAAACUUGAGCAAUUCUGAAGACCUGAAUUACUUGGAUGUAAAUUAUAUGCACUGCUGCACCUAUACAUAAGCUUAAGAACAUAUGUAUAAAUUUCUUCUAGAAGUAGGGCUUCCCCAAGCUUCUUGCUUGUGAUAUACCUUUUUGUUGGCUCUGGCCACCUUUUCUAGAAGAAAAUAAAGCUGAAAGUGAUGCCAUAGCUUAAGAGGAUAUACUCGAUUUUAUUUCCUUUUCAUGUCACUAACCCUCAUAAAAAGCUGAAAGUGAUCGCUAUGCUUUUGAGUUCUGUCGCAAGGUGGCUUCGCACUACUUAAAACAACUUUUUGCAAUCUACCAGAACAAGGAGGACCCUUACUUUCAUCCAUAGCCCUGGUAAUGCUUAGUAUCCCGCCAACUGCCUGCUACACUCUUUUGUACAUACAGUACGUGUUGAAUUGCGCUCCUGGAGAAGUAAGGACAUGUUGCAAUCAUACUACCUUUAGUUGCAGCCUCCGCACAUUUGUCUGGAAGCAAUUGUCUUGGAUGUGCUGCUGGGUCUGAUCUUCGGAAGUGGGCUGCUGCCGAGAAACAUUCGAUUUGAUGGUCUUCAGAUUACAAAGGAUAUGAAGCAGCCGAUUUUUGUGUAUUAUCAGCGGGAUGACUUUUACCAGAAUUAUAGGAGGUAUGUCAAGAGCCGAAAUGAUGCACAGCUAGGAGAUAAAAGUAAGGCGAAUGACUUUACCAAUUGUGAUCCUGAGGCCAAAAUGUUGAGAAGAAGGACAUCUCUUGUAAGAGUGACAGAGACCACAAAUUCGGGAGUGAUGUCUUCCCAACGAACUUUCAGAUAGGACCUCUUAAAGGUGGAAAAACACUUGAUCCAAGUAUCCCGUUGAGUAAGAAAGAGGACCUCAUUGUUUGGAUGCGGACUACAGCACUUCCGACAUUCAGAAAGCUGUAUGGAAGGAUAUAUGUUGAUCUCAAGGAAAACGAUACAAUCACAGUCUAGUUGGACAACAACUACAACACCUAUAGCUUUGGUGGCAAGAAGAAGCUGGUGCUUUCUACCGCAACCUGGCUCGGGGGAAAGAACGAUUUUCUGGGCCUUGCGUACCUCAUCGUCGGUGGACUCUGCUUCUUCCUGGCAUUCGCGUUCACCUUGCUAUACUUGAUAAAGCCAAGGAAAAUGGGAGAUAACCGCUACCUGUUAUGGAACAGACCCCCUUCAGGUCGCUGAUGAUGUGCUUUGGAAUUAAACGCGAUGCACAGGCAGCAACAAACAUAUUCAGAUUAUGGUCGGAAUGUAUCUUGUACCACAGAGAAAUUUUAUUCGUGCUCGUCGGUGUAGAAUAUAUACGGCACCCUUGCACAUAUUGUACAUUACAUCGAAACACAUAGCUUUGUUUUCUACAAAAUUGUAUACUCAAAAGUCUCAGAAGUGGAUGCCAGUAGUUCCAUGCUUUGUUUUUUCCCCUUCAUAAAACAGCUAAAUCUAACCUGCAUGACUGAGCUAUGAGAUGAACAUGAGCUCUUCGUAAGUGAUCAGUUCUCGAAGGCUAGGCAUUUGCAGAAAUUUGGACUUUUGGAUUCCAAACAAUGCGCUUCGUGUUUUUGCCAUUCCUAACAUAGACUUCAAAGAAAUAUGACUUUUUUUGCUCUUCUCCUGACGUCGUUUGCUUUCCUUCCCCUGACAUGCAUGUGUUGCAAUUGCAUCUAGUGUCUCAACAGAGCAACACGAAGAAUGUUUUGGAAUGAUGCUUGUGUUAUCAGCCCGGAAAGGGGCACGCUGGCAUCUUCAUAUUAUUUUUUUUUCCUUGUUCAGCAAGGGUUGAUGGACGCUUUGUUACUGUUACUGUUCCGCGCGCAGAAAAAAAAAUUCAACUGUGGCUUCCUGAAAAAGUA